rnacentral:piRNA from 1 species
GGCCAAAUGUAAAGCAGCCGUGUUCAUCCA